rnacentral:rRNA from 1 species
AGUGGGUGUAACGUACCCACUAGCCUACGACGGGUACGGGUUGUGAGAGCAAGAGCCCGGAGAUGGAUUCUGAGACAUGAAUCCAGGCCCUACGGGGUGCAGCAGGCGCGAAAACUUUACAAUGCGGGCAACCGCGAUAAGGGGACCUCGAGUGCUGGGUUACAAACCUGGCUGUUGGGCUGCCUAGAAAGCAGUCUAUAGCAAGGGCCGGGCAAGACCGGUGCCAGCCGCCGCGGUAACACCGGCGGCUCGAGUGGUAACCGCUGUUAUUGGGUCUAAAGGGUCUGUAGCCUGCCGGCUAAGUCUCUUGGGAAAUCUGGCAUCUCAAGUGUCAGGCUGCCAGGGGAUACUGGUCAGCUUGGGACCGGGAGAGGUGAGAGGUACCUCAGGGGUAGGGGUGAAAUCUUGUAAUCCUUGAGGGACCACCAGUGGCGAAGGCGUCUCACCAGAACGGAUCCGACGGCAAGGGACGAAAGCUAGGGGCACGAACCGGAUUAGAU